CCCACUCCGCCCCGCGAACCCGCGUUGCGCGUAGUGCGCCAACGCCUUCGGCGAAGUCGGCCCGCGGGGCUCGUCCAGUCGGUUCGCCUCAGGCCUGAACCGAGGCCCGCCAUGGAAGGGGACGUCUCCGCCGCCGCAGCCGCCCGCUACCAGCCGGCCAGCCCCCCGCGGGACGCCUGUGUCUACAACAGCUGCUACUGUGAAGAAAAUAUUUGGAAGCUCUGUGAAUACAUCAAAAACCACGACCAGUAUCCUUUAGAAGAAUGUUAUGCUGUCUUCAUAUCUAAUGAGAGGAAGAUGAUACCUAUCUGGAAACAACAGGCAAGACCUGGAGAUGGACCUGUGAUCUGGGAUUACCACGUUGUCUUGCUUCAUGUUUCAAGUGGAGGACAGAGCUUCAUUUAUGAUCUUGACACUGUCCUGCCAUUUCCCUGCCCCUUUGAUACUUAUGUGGAAGAUGCCUUUAAGUCUGAUGAGGACAUCCAUCCACAGUUCAGAAGGAAAUUUAGAGUGAUCCGCGCAGAUUCAUAUUUGAAGAACUUUGCUUCUGACCGAUCUCACAUGAAAGACUCCAGUGGGAACUGGAGAGAACCUCCUCCGUCAUAUCCCUGCAUUGAGACUGGAGAUUCCAAAAUGAACCUGAAUGAUUUUAUCAGUAUGGAUCCUGAGGUAGGAUGGGGAGCCGUCUACUCACUGUCUGAAUUUGUACAUCGGUUUGGCAGUCAGAACUACUGAACUUGACCUCUGGAUGUAGUGCCAUGGAGAAAUUCUAGGACGUGAACAAUCCACCCCUUCAUCUGAGACAGCAAACAUUAUGAUGAUGAGUCUUCUGCUUACUCAGAAACUUCCACUCAAAUCCUCUGCCUUGUGCUCUGGAGGGACACCUGCAGUCAUUUCCUCAGGAGUCAGUCAGUCAGUCAGUCUAAGGAAAGACCAUAUAUCCAUUUGGCUCGGCUGACCUGGAAGAUGCUGGGAGAAAGUGAAUCAACUUUGGACUGCUGGGCUAGGGCCCCUGGGAGUUUGGGGCUGCUGGUGGGUAUCUUGACUGCCACAGAAGAAAGGCCUGCCUGCAUAAUGAACCCGAGCAGAGCGGGAGCCCCAAGGACAUUUCUGAGUGCCUGGAUCUUUCUUUGCUUCAAACCAACCCCAAUUUUCGAACUUGCCAGUUAUACAAACCAGUGGGUUCCUUUUUCUCUUCAGUUUGUGUGAGUUGGAUCGCUGUCAUUUAUAACUGAAAGAAUGACCUUGGAAGCCACCCACUGAAGAUGGCAGAGCCACCAUCAACCUGGGUUCCUGAAUGACCAUAUGGAGCCGAGCUGCAGGCCUGCCUGAAAAGUAUAUUGUAGAACUGUUCCAUAAGAUACACACUUGUGUAUUUUUUUAAGUCACAGAGUCAUUGGUGAGUCUUGAUUCUGCAGUUUAGCCCUCCCUAGUUAAUACAGUGCCCAUUCAGGACUUGUCACAGGGUAUUUCUACUGGGUUGGAAAUGAGACUUUGUGAUGUUCCAUGUGGAAUUAGAUCCUCGGUGUUUUCGUGCAAGCUGCCCCUUAAGUGUCCUGGAGUGUUUGUGGGAUUAUUGCCCUUUGCAGAAUGUUCAGGAACACUGAACGCAGAUAUCCAUCCGUACCUCUUAUUUUGCAUGAGGUUCAAGAGCCUUGUGGGAAAGAAGCCAAAUGAAUCCUGUCCUCAUUUACAGUUCAGACAUGUGUGGGCCUCUCUGAUGGACGAGGGGUCCUCAGAGCUAUCCUAGCUAGAGGAGAGGAAAACAGAUGCCUGAGGGAAAAUCACUCUUGAGUGAGGAAGACACCUGGCUGAGUGGACCAGACCUGGCAACGAGGCCUGGUGGUUAGAGGGACCACCGGUGGCAGGUGCAGUGUGAGGUGUGCUUCCUCAUUGCUCACCCUUCAUGCGGUACACCCCUUUCCUUGCUCUCUCACCCUCUUGAAAGCCCUGUCCUCUGGGAAUGAAGGGAAAGAACUGUGUCACUAGAGGCCCAACACGACUCUGUGGGAACCUUGCAAGUAGCUGGUCUUGGGCAUCAAAGAACAGUGGAGGCCAGUGGCCUGAGAGGUUGGAAUUCUGGUGGUUGAGUGGUUGGCACAGAGCAACGGAGCAGAAGCAUUGAUAAAGCCUGAAGGCUGUGGCUCUGAUCUUCUGUGAAGCCCCAUUUCAUCAGGACUUUUUUUUGGUUGCUGUUCAAUUCAAAUAAACACUUACUGAGCCUAUGUUAAAUGGGGGCAUGGUUAAGAGAGGCCCCUCUUCUGUCUGUGUACAAUUCCUACCACUCUGUUUAUCCUCAUAUGUCUCACUAUUCUUUUACAGUUAUUCAAACUCCUAUAAUGGAAUGGUAACCUUGUUCAGAAGCUCAGAAUCUUCUUAGAAAGUUGUUAGUAGAGUGAUGGUCACAGCUAGUGGAGAAGCUGCUUCAUUUUCUGAAAAAAAACAAAACACUGAGGUGGACUCGUUGCUUCCCAUGAAGAUGCUGGGCUCAUCU